UACACAUCACUUCAAAGGGCCAUAACUCUGCUGUUCAGAUGACAAAUGCAAUGAGAUUUCACAAUGAUGUGUCAUAUAAUGGCUGUAGAAGAUUUUGUACCAAGUUUUAUGAAAAUCAAUCCAGGUCAGAGUCUUUAUCAGAGAGAAAGAAGCAAUUACCCAUCGAAACCUGUAUCAGUGGUACUGGAAACAACUGGAUCUAGUGACAAUAUUCAAGCUCGGUGAAGGGUGGGGCUACAUGUAGAUAUGGGAG